rnacentral:rRNA from 1 species
UACGUAGGGGGCGAGCGUUGUCCGGAGUUACUGGGCGUAAAGGGCGCGCAGGCGGUUCUAUAAGACAGAUGUGAAAUCCCCGGGCUCAACCUGGGAACUGCAUUUGUGACUGUAGAGCUGGAGUACGGUAGAGGGGGAUGGAAUUCCGCGUGUAGCAGUGAAAUGCGUAGAUAUGCGGAGGAACACCGAUGGCGAAGGCAAUCCCCUGGACCUGUACUGACGCUCAUGCACGAAAGCGUGGGGAGCAAACAGG